rnacentral:rRNA from 1 species
AUGGACAGACCAGAUCUUCCAUUUGGUGGUAAAACAGUCGUAUUUGGAGGAGACUUUAGGCAAGUGCUCCCCGUUGUUCGAAAGGGAACAAGAGCCCAGAUAGUAGAUGCAUCACUACGCGGGUCCGAGCUUUGGAAUUCCAUGCGUCAAUUGAAGCUUGUGCACAACAUGAGGGCUCAAAACAACAAGUGGUUCGCAGAAUACCUACUACGCAUUGGAAACGGAACCGAGACAAAUGAUGAUACUAAAAUACUUCUACCUGCAAGUAUAUGCGUGCCAAAUAAGACGGAUGAUAAUGGCCUGUAUAGACUCAUCGACAGUAUCUACGAAACGGACAAUGCUUCCCUAAAAGAUCCAAAAGACAUCACGUCAAGAGCAAUUUUAUCCACAAGGAACAACUCCAUAGACAAAAUAAACCUAAAAAUGAUUGAUCGCUUCAAAGGAGAGGAGAUGGUGUACCACAGCUUCGACUCUGUAGAAGACGACCCACAUAACUACUAUCCACUAGAAUUCCUAAACACCCUCACCCCAAAUGGACUGCCUCCACAUAUGCUAAAGCUGAAAAUAAAUUGUCCAAUCAUACUACUAAGGAACAUCGACCCCGCUAAUGGACUCUACAAUGGCACAAGAUUGGUCGUAUGUGGAUUCCAGAAAUAUGCAAUUGAUGCAGAGAUUGUAGUAGGUCAGCACUCUGGAAUGCGAGUUUUCUUGCCAUGGAUACCAUUAUGCCCAUCUGAUGACGACAUGUUUCCAUUCAAUUUCAAGAGGAAACAAUUUCCAGUGAGGCUAAGUUUUGCAAUGACAAUAAACAAAUCACAAGGUCAGACAAUACCAAAUGUCGGCGUCUACCUGCCUGAACUGGUUUUCUCGCAUGGUCAACUAUAUGUCGCUCUUUCUAGAGCGACCGUGACAUCAAACAUAAAAGUAUUAACAGGAACACAUGAUGAGAACAAGGGGACGGAUAAGAAGAUCAGUAGUCAUACACAGAAAAUAUUGUCUACACAAAAGUCCUCACCAAAU